GAAUCCCUACGGGGCGCAGCAGUGGGGGAUAUUGCACAAUGGGGGGAACCCUGAUGCAGCGACGCCGCGUGGGUGAAGGAGCGUUUCGGCGCGUAAAGCCCUAUCGGCAGGGAAGAAGGAGGACGGGACCUGACUAAGAAGCCCCGGCUAACUACGUGCCAGCAGCCGCGGGAAUACGUAGGGGGCAAGCGUUAUCCGGAUUUACUGGGGGUAAAGGGGGCGCAGACGGCAGCGCAAGCCAGGAGUGAAAGCCCGGGGCCCAACCCCGGGACUGCUCUUGGAACUGCGCGGCUGGAG
rnacentral:rRNA from 1 species